rnacentral:rRNA from 1 species
UACGAACCGUGCGAGCGUUGUUCGGAAUCACUGGGCUUAAAGGGCGCGUAGGCGGGCAUUCAAGUCAGGGGUGAAAUCCCCCAGCUUAACUGGGGAACUGCCUUUGAUACUGAAUGUCUCGAGUAAGGUAGGGGCAUGCGGAACUGAUGGUGGAGCGGUGAAAUGUGUUGAUAUCAGCAGGAACUCCGGUGGCGAAGGCGGCAUGCUGGACCUUCACUGACGCUGAGGCGCGAAAGCUAGGGUAGCGAACGGG